UACGAAGGGGGCGAGCGUUGCUCGGAAUCACUGGGCGUAAAGGGUGCGUAGGCGGGGCUUUAAGGCAGGGGUGAAAUCCUGGAGCUCAACUCCAGAACUGCCUUUGAUACUGAGGAUCUUGAGUACGGGAGAGGUGAGUGGAACUGCGAGUGUAGAGGUGAAAUUCGUAGAUAUUAGGAAGAACACCAGUGGCGAAGGCGGCUCACUGGCCCGGUACUGACGCUGAGGUACGAAAGCGUGGGGAGCAAACAGG
rnacentral:rRNA from 1 species